AACGAACGCUGGCGGCGUGCCUAAUACAUGCAAGUCGAGCGAAUGGAAGGGAGCUUGCUCCCUAAAGUUAGCGGCGGACGGGUGAGUAACACGUGGGCAACCUGCCUGUAAGACUGGGAUAACUUCGGGAAACCGGAGCUAAUACCGGAUACGUUCUUUCCUCGCAUGAGGAAAGAUGGAAAGAUGGUUUCGGCUAUCACUUACAGAUGGGCCCGCGGCGCAUUAGCUGGUUGGGGGGGUAAUGGCCUACCAAGGCGGCGAUGCGUAGCCGACCUGAGAGGGUGAUCGGCCACACUGGGGCUGAGACACGGCCCAGACUCCUACGGGAGGCAGCAGUAGGGAAUCUUCCGCAAUGGACGAAAGUCUGACGGAGCAACGCCGCGUGAGCGAAGAAGGCCUUCGGGUCGUAAAGCUCUGUUGUCAGGGAAGAACAAGUGCCAGAGUAACUGCUGGCACCUUGACGGUACCUGACCAGAAAGCCACGGCUAACUACGUGCCAGCAGCCGCAGUAACAC
rnacentral:rRNA from 1 species